UCCCCUCAGUGUGUCUCUCUCCCAUCCCCUCAGUGUGUCUCUCUCCCAUCCCCUCAGUGUGUCUCUCUCCCAUUCCCCUCAGUGUGUCUCUCUCUCCCAUUCCCCUCAGUGUGUCUCUCUCUCCCAUCCCCUCAGUGUGUCUCUCUCCCAUCCCCUCAGUGUGUCUCUCUCCCAUCCCCUCAGUGUGUCUCUCUCCCAUCCCCUCAGUAUGUCUCUCUCUCCUAUC